rnacentral:rRNA from 1 species
UACGAAGGGGGCUAGCGUUGCUCGGAAUCACUGGGCGUAAAGCGCGCGUAGGCGGAUCGUUAAGUCGGGGGUGAAAUCCUGGAGCUCAACUCCAGAACUGCCUUUGAUACUGGCGAUCUUGAGUCCGGGAGAGGUGAGUGGAACUCCGAGUGUAGAGGUGAAAUUCGUAGAUAUUCGGAAGAACACCAGUGGCGAAGGCGGCUCACUGGCCCGGUACUGACGUUGAGGUGCGAAAGCGUGGGGAGCAAACAGG